rnacentral:rRNA from 1 species
CCCGCUGAACUUAAGCAUAUCAAUAAGCGGAGGAAAAGAAACUAACAAGGAUUCCCCUAGUAACUGCGAGUGAAGCGGGAAAAGCUCAAAUUUAAAAUCUGGCGGUCUUGCGGCCGUCCGAGUUGUAAUCUGGAGAAGCGUUUAUCCGCGUCGGACCGUGUACAAGUCUUCUGGAAGGGAGCGUCGUAGAGGGUGAGAAUCCCGUCUUUGACACGGACAACCGAUGCUUUUGUGAUGCGCUCUCGAAGAGUCGAGUUGUUUGGGAAUGCAGCUCAAAAUGGGUGGUAAAUUCCAUCUAAAGCUAAAUAUUGCCGAGAGACCGAUAGCGAACAAGUACCGUGAGGGAAAGAUGAAAAAGCACUUUGGAAAGAGAGUUAAAACAGUACGUGAAAUUGUGAAAAGGGAACGUUUUGAAGUCAGUCGCGUCGGCCGAGACUCAACCUGGGCUUCUGCCCGGUGCACUUCUCGGUUGACGGGUCAGCAUCAAUUUUGACCGCCGGAUAAAGGUUGGGGGAAUGUGGCAUCCUUCGGGAUGUGUUAUAGACCUCGAUUCGGAUACGGCGAUUGGGAUUGAGGAACUCGGCGCUCUGCGUCCAGGAUGCUGGCAUAAUGGCUUUAAGCGACCCGUCUUGAAACACGG